CAGUAGCCGCGGGAAUACGAAGGGUGCAAGCGUCAAUCGGAAUUACUGGGCGUAAAGCGCGCGUAGGUGGUUUGUUAAGUUGGAGGUGAAAUCCCCGGGCUCAACCUGGGAACUGCCUCCAAAACUGGCUGACUAGAGUACGGUAGAGGGUGGUGGAAUUUCCUGUGUAGCGGUGAAAUGCGUAGAUAUAGGAAGGAACACCAGUGGCGAAGGCGACCACCUGGACUGAUACUGACACUGAGGUGCGAAAGCGUGGGGAGCAAACAGGAUUAGAUACCCCAGUAGUCCCUGUCUCUUAUAC
rnacentral:rRNA from 1 species